GCAAGAAAGUUAAAGUGCGCCAUUGCAAUGCAUUGCAAUGGUGUGACGAACGCAACUCCCCGGAGAAUCAGCAAUUUUCGGGCGAAUCUAAAGUGACGCUCGAAAGUUAGUCAGGAAAACCGUUCGAUCCAGAAUCGGGAAGUAGACGAAGACGGACACGCUAAACGAGGAGUCGGCAGGAGAAUGGCUUGUCCGACCUGGAAGCCAACCGUCGUUUAUAACGAGAGGCCCGACACGCUUCCGGUUUUAAGCAGGUGGCUUAAGCGCCACUUCCGUUUGGAAGACCACCUACCCUUUCUUAUCUUGCCCAGCUGAUGAGACUCGGUCGCGAGUUCCUUUUGAUUCCCGAUUUUGGGAAAGAAGCGGAAGGGACUCUAAAGAGGGAUCCGUACUUCGACCCCUGAGGGCCGCCCCGAAGUCGAGACAAAACCCGAGAGAAGUUCGAGGAAAUGGGAGUUAGCUGUUCGUUACGAAAGCAAGCUAGGGGCGCUAAUCAUUGGACAAGACCAAACCCCUUACCUGGAUCUGAAGAGACAGAAAUCGAUUGGUUUCGCGGCCAAUCUCCGCAGCAAAGGAACAAAAAUAAAUCCCGAACAACGAACAGCGUGUGACUCCCUUUC